AUGCGGCGCGCAUGCCAUGGACCUUCUUGUCUCGUCACAGCCAUAACUAGGAAGGAAGGAAGGCAUUUGAAGUGGAGGAGAGACUCAGGUGAAACUGGGGCGAUGCUGGGGUGCUCUUGGAGGUUUCCAAGUCCCAAAAGCACCUGGAACCCUGACAGAAGAUUCUAGACUCCCCAGACGGGACCAGGAGGGACGGCGCAGGCAAGCCAAUCCCAGAGGCCCAAUGACCAAGCCCCAGAAGAAAGGCAGAGCCCAGUAAUGGAGAGCCCCAAGAAGAGGAACCAGCAGCUGAAAGUCGGGAUCCUACACCUGUUCAGGAGACAGAAGAAGAUCAGGAUAGAGCUGAGAUCCAAGUGCGUGACAUGGAAGGUGAUCUGCAAGAGCUGCGUCAGUCAAAGACCGGGGUUAGAUCUGGAUUUGGGUGCUGGCAUCAAGGUGAAGAUUAUACCCAAGGAAGAACACUGUAAAAUGCCAGAAACAGGUAGAAGACCAAGAUAUUCUGAUUUUCUUGAUUUAGCAUAA